GACGAACGCUGGCGGCGUGCUUAACACAUGCAAGUCGAACGGAAAGGCCCUGCUUUUGUGGGGUGCUCGAGUGGCGAACGUGUGAGUAACACGUGAGUAACCUUCCCUUUACUUUGGGAUAACUUCAGGAAACUGGGGCUAAUACCUGCUAGGAGCUCCUGCUGCAUGGUGGGGGUUGGAAAGUUUCGGCGGUUGGGGAUGGACUCGCGGCUUAUCAGCUUGUUGGUGGGGUAGUGGCUUACCAAGGCUUUGAAGGGUAGCCGGCCUGAGAGGGUGGACGGCCACAUUGGGACUGAGAUACGGCGCAGACUCCUACGGGAGGCAGCAGGGGGGAAUAUUGCACAGUGGGCGGAAGCCUGAUGCAGAAACGCCGCGUGCGGGAUGAAGGCCUUCGGGUGGUAAACCGCUUUCGCCUGUGACGAAGCGUGAGUGACGGUAAUGGGUAAAGAAGCACCGGCUAACUACGUG
rnacentral:rRNA from 1 species